CAAUAGCGUAUAUUAAAGUUGUUGCAGUUAAAAGCUCGUAGUUGGAUUUCUAGAUAAGUGGGUACUUGUACUUUGCUUGUCUACCAGUCUUAGACUGUUACUGUGAGGAAAUUAGAGUGUUUCAAGCAGGCAUGCGCCUUGAAUACAUUAGCAUGGAAUAAUAAGAUAGGACCUCGGUUCUAUUUUGUUGGUUUCUAGAGCUGAGGUAAUGAUUAAUAGGGAUAGUUGGGGCGAUUAGUACUUAACUGUCAGAGGUGAAAUUCUCCGAUUUGUUUAAAGACUAACUUAUGCGAAAGCAUUUGCCAAGGAUGUUUUCAUUAAUCAAGAACGAAAGUUAGGGGAUCAAAGACGAUUAGAUACCAU
rnacentral:rRNA from 1 species